UAGCUAGUUGGUGGGGUAAGGGCCUACCAAGACGACGAUCGGUAGCUGGUCUGAGAGGAUGAUCAGCCACACUGGAACUGAGGGACGGUCCAGACUCCUACGGGAGGCAGCAGUGGGGAAUAUUGGACAAUGGGGGGAACCCUGAUCCAGCAAUGCCGCGUGAGUGAAGAAGGCCUGAGGGUUGUAAAGCACUUUUGUUAGGGAGGAGUGUUGAUUGGUUAAGAGCUGAUUGACAGGACGUUACCUAAAGAAUAAGCACCGGCUAACUCCGUGCCAGCAGCCGCGGUAAUACGGAGGGUGCGAGCGUUAAUCGGAAUUACUGGGCGUAAGGGUGCGUAGGUUGUUGAUUAAGUUAUGUGUAAAAUUCCUGGGCUCAACCUAGGGUUGCAGAUAAUACUGGUUGACUAUGAGUAUAGGAGAGGGUAGUGGAAUUUCCGGUGUAGCGGUGAAAUGCGUAGAGAUCGGAAGGAACAUCGGUGGCGAAGGCGGCUACCUGGCCUAAUACUGACACUGAGGCACGAAAGCGUGGGGAGCAAACAGGAUUAGAUACCCUGGUAGUCCACGCUGUAAACGAUGUCAACUAGCUGUUGGUUAUAUGAAAAUAAUUAGUGGCGC
rnacentral:rRNA from 1 species